AGGCCAGACUCCUACGGGAGGCAGCAGUGGGGAAUAUUGCACAAUGGGGGAAACCCUGAUGCAGCGACGCCGCGUGAGUGAAGAAGUAAUUCGUUAUGUAAAGCUCUAUCAGCAGGGAAGAAGAUGACGGUACCUGACUAAGAAGCCCCGGCUAAAUACGUGCCAGCAGCCGCGGUAAUACGUAUGGGGCAAGCGUUAUCCGGAUUUACUGGGUGUAAAGGGGGCGCAGACGGCGAUGCAAGCCAGGAGUGAAAGCCCGGGGCCCAACCCCGGGACUGCUCUUGGAACUGCGUGGCUGGAGUGCAGGAGGGGCAGGCGGAAUUCCUGGUGUAGCGGUGAAAUGCGUAGAUAUCAGGAGGAACACCGGUGGCGAAGGCGGCCUGCUGGACUGCAACUGACGUUGAGGCCCGAAAGCGUGGGGAGCAAACAGGAUUAGAUACCCCCGUA
rnacentral:rRNA from 1 species